CUUCACCGAGCCGAGGAGGAGCGGCCGGUCGGCCGGGCGUUCCUGGCCGUAGGUGGCGAGGAGGGCCUGGGCCUC
rnacentral:antisense_RNA from 1 species